CACGCAGACUGGGCCCCAGCUUCAGUGCCCUCAAAUGGCGCAGCCGGGGCACAGGAAAAGGAGAAUGAGACAGAGAAGGGCAGCCCAAUGGAGUAUAUCUGCCACCCCUCGUCCCCUCCUGUUCCCUUCUAUAGGCAUUAGAAAUGGAGCUCAAAAUGUGCCUGUGACCCAGGUAGUGUACAUGGAAGUUCGAGGUCAAGUUGAGCACACCUCCAUCUCUCAUCCCCUCCCAGCCUGUGGUGAGCUAAGCCUAAGACAGAGUGCGUGGGAGGGAGGGCUCUAGACAGGAGGAAGGACACCUCUGGGCUUCUGGAAAGAGAUCCAGGACCUGGCCCAGGUGGAGUGAUAGAAAAAUCUUCCAAUGAACUAUCAAGAAGACAGACAAAUAGCCAGCAGUUCCACAGCGACUCAGGGGACUGCCAGGGUUCAAAUCCUGCUCCUGCUAGAUGCCACUUCUGCUGCUCUUCAUUGCUGCCCUAGACAAGGCCAGGCCCUGCGGCGUGCUGCGAGCCUUCCUUCCGUUAUCUUUACCAGCUCUACAUGGUCAUUCACAGAUGAGAAAGCUGAAGAUCAGAGAGCUCACACAUUUCCCACAAGGUUACACAGUCAGUAAGAGACACUAUCAGGAUUCCAAUGACCUGCUGUUAAAGUUCAUCUCUUAUUCACUCAUUGCCUCCCUCAAGGCUGAAGAGUGGGGUGGAGGGGAGACCAGCAGAGCUACUGAGCUCAAUCUGCCUCCUUGGCCCUCCCAGCCCAGAGCUCUGCCAGCGGUGGUAGGAGGAGUGUGGUAAGUAUUUGCUGAUGAAUGAACAACCGAAGGACAAAAUAAUGAACUGUCAUCUUCCAAGGCAAAGGAUUGCAGAAGCCACUGAUAUCCUGCCCACCGCCCUCCCCAUCCACUCCUCUACCACCUCCAGUCCUUCCUGUGAACACAGCAGAGGCAGGAGCCUCUUGGGGUGGGGUCCCUAUCAGGGAGGAAGUGCAGCUGGCUUCUCCCCCACCCCCUUUAUCACUUCUCCCCCAUCCCUACUUUAUCACCCAGGGCCUCCACAAUCCCCUCCCUGUCCCUCUCCGGGGGCUCCUGGGUAGGAGAGGGAAAGACAUGUAAAUCAGUGGGGCUAGGGGAAGUGGAGGAAGCAGAAAGGAUACCAGGAGCAUUUCCCCUACACGCUUAACCUGGGGCUCACAGUCCUUGCCAGGCUGGGCCAGUGGCUUAGGGGACCAAGCCCUUCCUGAUAGGCCGCUUGAUCUAUCUGGCCAGCCUAGUAGGCAAAUGGGGAAAUAGUAGUCAGGAGUUGACAAAGUUGGGGCACCUGCCCUCACUUUGGCCCUAGCCCCAUGCCGGCUGCCACAGAUGUUCACAGGUGUCUGCAGGAUUCUUUUGUUUUUGUUGUUUUUUGACAUAGGCUCUCGCUCUAUUGCCCAGGCUAGAGUGCAGUGGUGCGAUCAUGGCUCAUUGCAGACUCAACCUCCGGAGCUCAGGCAGUCCUCCCACCUUGGCCCCCCAGGUAGCUAGGACUACAGGCACAUGCCACCAGGCCCAGCUAAUUUAUUUUUAAAAUUUGUUUGUAGAGAUGCCGCCUCUCUAUGUUGCCCAGGCUGGUCUUGAAAUCCUGGCCUCAAGUAAUCCUCCCUCCCCGGCCUCCCAAAGUGUUGGGAUUACAGGCAUGAGCCACCAUGUCCAGCCAGGAUUUGGGAUUGGGUCAGGGUGGCAUGGGCCUUUCCAGAGGCCCAGUAGGCUUCUGAGUGCAAGUGAAGAGUGCAGCGGGGAGGCCCUACGGAGCUAAAUAAGGGCUGUCGACCAGGCUAUGUGUGACUUCUCCUUUCACCACCAAGGUCUGGAGGUCUAAGGGGAGCUCUGCCCACUACCCCCAGGAGCUCACGGGAGCUUCUUCCUGCCUUCCUCCUCUCAGCAACCAGUAUCUAGGAGGCCAUGCCUUCCUUCCCAGAGUCCAGCUCAGACAAUUUGCAGAACAACCCAGCUUGAAAUUUGAUACUUGAUCCACCCCUUGUGCAUCCCCUAGAUCAAAUAACCCUGGAUCUGUGACCCUUGGCUCAGAUCUGUCUAAUUCUUAAAGAGUCUGUUCAGACUUGGAGUGAGGCUGUUGAGUCCUGAGGAGGGAGGGGCUGUGGCAGCAUUGACAAGUUCCCCGCAUUCCUGUGGUACCUGAGUCUUUCCAAUGACUCCCCUCACCUGAGGCUCAGUCUCUCAUUACCCACCCGCUUCCCUUCCUUAUCGGUGAGGUCUUGAACAACUGAACCAAAGAGCUUCUGGUUCAUGAGCUAAUGUUAACCUGCAAGAGGACACAGUCUUUGGCUCUGUCUCAGUCAACUCUGAAUAUGGUCUGCAGACCUAGCUUUUGGAAGAUGCAAGAGCAGGAGGGAUGGUGAGAAUACUGGAUGACAAAAUGAGGAUUCAAAACAUUCGAGCAGGCCAGUGUGGGAUAAUAAAAUCAGAUAAAUAUAAAGAGGGACAAAUGCUACAUUCUGCAUUUAGUCAAAAACAAAUUGGUGGCCAGGCACGGUGGCUCACACCUGUAACCCCAGCACUUUGAGAGGCCAAGGCUUGGGAGGAAGGGAGGGGGUUUGCUUCAAGUCAGGAGUUCAGGACUAGCCUAGGCAACAUAGAGAGACCUCGUCUUUACAAAACACAAAAAAAUUAGCUGAGUGUGCCGGUGGUCCCAGCUGCUCAGGAGGCUGAGAUGAGAGGAUUGCUUGAGCCCAGGAGUUUGAGUCUGCAGUGAGCUAUGAUCAUGCACUCCGGCCUAGGCCACAGAGAGACCAUCUCUCUCUCUUUCUGUCCUUCUCUUUCACACAUACACACACACACACACACACACACACACACACACACACACGAAUUAGCCAAGUACAGAAUGAGGGGGAUGUGGCAGACACUUUAGGGAGAGGAGUUAGUAUGAAGUUUCUGAAGCCACAUGGAAUUAACUUCACAGGUUCUGAAGUUGAAAGGAAGGUGUUUAAAUUUGCAUAAGUCUGUUUGCAUUUCAUUUUCUAGCAGGGACAUUAUUAGCCUUUUUGACUCUCAUUUUCUCACAAGUGUACAGUGGAGUUUUCCGGAGGCUUCUUGACACAUGAUAUCAUAACAGGUUGAAUGCAGAAGCCAAUAUGAGAAUCUGGCUGCCUUCUACUAAACCAGACAUUAAAGAGAUUUGCAAAACUGUGAAA